GACGAACGCUGGCGGCGCGCUUAACACAUGCAAGUCGAACGGAAAGGCCCUGCUUUUGUGGGGUGCUCGAGUGGCGAACGGGUGAGUAACACGUGAGUAACCUGCCCUUGACUUUGGGAUAACUUCAGGAAACUGGGGCUAAUACCUGAUAGGAGCUCCUGCUGCAUGGUGGGGGUUGGAAAGUUUCGGCGGUUGGGGUUGGACUCGCGGCUUAUCAGCUUGUUGGUGGGGUAGUGGCUUACCAAGGCUUUGACGGGUAGCCGGCCUGAGAGGGUGACCGGCCACAUUGGGACUGAGAUACGGCCCAGACUCCUACGGGAGGCAGCAGUGGGGAAUAUUGCACAAUGGGCGGAAGCCUGAUGCAGCAACGCCGCGUGCGGGAUGACGGCCUUCGGGUUGUAAACCGCUUUCGCCUGUGACGAAGCGUGAGUGACGGUAAUGGGUAAAGAAGCACCGGCUAACUACGUG
rnacentral:rRNA from 1 species